UCGGAAUUUUGGAAGAAUGAAGUAUUGAAAUAACUCAAUGUCAUUGUAAUUUUAAGAAUGCCAUUGAUCUAUUCAAAUCAAUAAGCCAAUGAAAUAAAUUAGGAACAAGAAAGGGGAAUUUUGUCAAAUCGCAGUAUUUAUUGAGAGGACAAAGAAGUGUUUUACAUUAUUUUAAGUGAGCAAGAGCAAUGGGAAAUACCUGCAGUAGCACACAAGUAAAAAAGCCGAACGGUGGAGGGGGUUACGGGGGAGGAAGUUACGGAGGAGGAGGUGGCGGUGACGGAGGCUGUGGUGGCGGUGAUGGCGGCGGAUGCGGGGGCGGAGGCGAUGGGGGUGGAGGAGGGGGUUGUGGAGGUGGGUGUGGAGGUGGGUGUGGAGGUGGUGGUUAGCUGCAGCCGGCGACAUUUCGCGCUCGGGAAGUCCACCUUUUGGGAAUUAUCUUCUCCAAACAUUUGCCGAAUCUAUAAUUUAUAAAGACUGUGAUAGUGAUUGGACUAUUCCGAAUGUUUCUUUUACUUAUGAACGUAAAACAAAUAUAUGAUAUAAUAAAAUAUUGUCCAGAUAAUUUGUUUUGUAUUUGUCUAACACUUUUGGAAAUAAACUAUUGAUUUUUUUAAA